rnacentral:rRNA from 1 species
UACAUGGGGUGCAAACGUUGCUCGGAAUUAUUGGGCGUAAAGCGCACGUAGGCGGUUUGUUAAGUCGGAUGUGAAAUCCCUCGGCUCAACUGAGGAAGUGCAUCCGAAACUGGCAAGCUUGAGUACGAAAGAGGGUCGCGGAAUUCCCGGUGUAGAGGUGAAAUGCGCAGAUAUCAGGAGGAACACCCAUAGCGAAGGCAGCUUGCUGGGACGUUACUGACGCUAAGGCGCGAAAGCGUGGGGAGCGAACAGG